AAGGUUCCUUUGGAUCAUGGAGCGUUAUUCUAGUGCAUGAAACGGUCAUUCGAGGGCGGGCCUAAGAAUCCGCUAAGGGCAUACCGAUGAAGUUCCUGGUGGUGGCUUGGGACGCCCAGUCGUGGGCUGCUGCUGGGAGUUAAGGACAGAGGGGGAUCCGCAAUGGCAUGUGGGCGCUACCCUUUAUCCGUGGAGGCCCAGGUACGUGGUUUGAAACAUAGCUACGGCUUGGGGAUGAACCUGCAUUAGGAAGGAACUUAGUGCAGUGUAGCCUGCCUUGAGGUGGAAAAGUUGGAAAGGCGAUGAUUGGUUAACUGGUGUUGGCAAACAUCCGUUAUACCUGCCGGAAAUUCUUUUCUGCAAAAGAGGCUAGGGUGACCGGGAGUGUUAAGGAAAACUUCUAGAGCGUUUUAUCGAGAAGGAUUGAAGUGCGGACUAAGUGGCGAUCAAGUUCUGAGAAAUGGCAACAUUUCAGACCAGGAGGAAGGGGAAACCGCCCUUGCAGGAAACCAAAGGGAUCCUGGUGGGAAAACCUACUUGACCUAAGCCGCAACAUUUACUUCUCGAUAUCCUACAAUCCAAGGGACUUAC
rnacentral:sRNA from 1 species